UGGGGUGGUCACCUUAGUACUUUGAGAAACAAGAGUGGAGGUUAGAUGGCACAGGUGUUGGGUGUGGCUGGGAAUGCAGCACUGCCCUAUGCCAUGGGCCAAACCUCAUCUGACGUGGUUGAUAGCUAAAGAGACCAUGUGUGUUUUGAGAGAAAAUCUGACCCAGAUGAACUCCUGGUUAAGCCAAGAGAAGCAGUUUGGCCAAUGGCUUCGGAGGCCCUGUUAGGAAAAAUCUGUAAGUAUAAGUCAUGGAAGCCAGGACUAAGGGGGUGGAACCUGGUUACAAGGGGUGUGUGCGUGUACAUGGGUUGUAGCGUGAAGUAGCACUUACAUAGCUCUUCUUAAAAGAUAUAAGCAAUCUCAAAAGAUUGCAAGAGCUGAUGGAAAUCUGGGGGGAUAAGGCCACUCCAAGAUCUACCUUGGCAUCCCUGUGGCCCAAGUUGGGAGCUGUGGCUCAGCCAUGGCCCGGAGGCCAAGAUCUUGAAACAUAAGCCGAUUAAGAGGGAAUGGAACACUUCUGACAUCCCACUGGCCAUUUGCUUUUCUAUCCUGCCCCAGAUUUCAAGAGACUAGAAAGAAGAGACUUGCUCUGGUGGGUGUCAGUGAUAGGUGGCGGUGGAGAAGGUGACUCUAGGAGCUGCAUAGUGGGAGGCCUACAGCCUUCUGUAGAAGCCCGAGAUGUGCCUGUGUGGGUGCAAGGCCUCUUCAACCUGACAUCUGCCCACUGAGGAGCUAGGGGCACUUUCCUUCUGAAUGUGGCCCUGAAGUCUACCCAUAGGCAGAUGCCAGAUACUGAGACCCAAGGGGGGGCAGGGCCUACAAGGCCCACCACAGCAAUAGGAAGAGUUCCAGAUCUAUGUUCUCCUGGGUGAGCCAGCCUAGGCCUGUCUUCUCCUCUGUAGAAUUCAAGAAUUGGGUGAAUGAACCAGGUCUCUUUCAGCUCUAAAAGUCUAGGCCUGAUUGCUGAGCAGGAAAAGGAUACUGAUGAUAAGUAACACAUACUGAAUGUUUGUUAUGUGCCAAAAUACUGUUUUUAAGUACUUAACCAGUGAGUUAAUGUAUGCAAGGUGGUGAGAAUACUGCAUGGUACAUAGCAUUGCCGUAUAAGUAAAAAUCUUCAUAACGACCCUUGAAGGUACUCUUAUUCCUGCUUUUCAAAUGAGGGAACAGGCCUUACUUGCCUAAGGUUACAUAGCAGGUUAGUAGUAAAGAACUGAACCUAAGCAGUCCGGACUGAGAACAUUUUUGUUCUCUUUAAAAUCUUUACUUAGUAAGAAGUCAAUGUUCCCCUUCCCUAAAUGGGAGCAAUUAAUCAGCCUAUGGAGUAGUGACAUUUAAAAACUUGAUUAGGGAGGGAGCCCCAGGAACUAUGGGGGUGCUGAGCAGUAAAGGGAACUUGGUGCCUGGACACCAAAGAACCAUAGAAGAAUCAGGAGAGACUCUUGACCAGCGGUUCACAAAUGUAAGCAUGCUUCUUAACUGCCUUGGGAGAGAGUGUUUACAAAAUGCAGGUCCCAGAUAUUCUGAUUUAAUGUCUGGCCUGAGACCCAGAAACCUAAAUUAUUAACAAUUUGAAUGCAGGCCUUCAUUAAGAAUCGUUGGCCUAAAGUAGGGAAAAGAGGGAAGAAAAAGACUGCAUUGCCAUGGAGGAUCAGUGGGGUUGGAUCAGAGCCCGAUGUUGAAGGUGGGUGUCACAAUGGUGCCAGAAACACCCAGUGGAGCCCACCAAAGUCCUGAAAUGGGCGCAGUGGUGAAAAAAGGGUGUGGAAGAGAGUAGAGAUGACAAUCUGCAGUGUCCUCAACCUGCAAAGUCAAUGAGAUUCUCCCUCUGAGAGCCUCAAGGAAGGCCAGAGGGAAUCCCGGAACCCAAGCCCGGUCGUAGGAAAGCCAAAUCUAGGCCCUUCCGACCGCGUCGGGAUGGGGGGCGCUGAACACAGUGCUUUUCAAGGCUGUCCGUUCUGGGUAUCAGGGAUCGCAGUAAGGAAAAGUGGCAAGAACAGCAGCCCAGCCUCAGGGGGCUGGUUAAACGCGGCUUGUCCAACCGCGGGACCCUGGUUUCCUGCUCUUAGCCCAGUGCGCAGAAAUCGCGCCACCUCCGGGAAGGCGGAGGAAGUGAGGUGGCCUGCCACCACUACCUUCAGGCUCCGCGGCCUCAGUUCUGCCUCGGCUGCCCCUCCAGGGAAGCGGCCCUCUGGGGGUGGGUGCCGUACCUCCGACCCUCCUCCGAGGCCGAAAGCACCCUGCGAUUAGAAGAGGAGGGAGGGGAGUCACAUGUGUUUCCCUACCCCCGCCCGCGCCCGGGGCAUCUCCGGCGCCGCUGCAGCGGGCGAGACGCUUGUCCUACAGCGCCUCCUCCUGGACAAGGCGCCGACAGUCGAGCAGGGGGACUGAGCCUGCCCGGGAAACCGCGUUCUGAGGCUUCUUCGCGCGGGUGGAGGUCUUCCGCACCAAAGGCUCUGAGCUGGUCCCUCAGUGUGGCCCAGGAGAGUGCAUCCCUUAUUAAUUAGGCGAGUCCAGGCGGAAAAUCCCUCCAGUUUGUCGUUUAUUUAUUUAUUUGGCCGCUCUAUGCUGAGCCACUGGCCCCCUCAGAGCCCUCAAACGUGCUGCUCUAGAGUAACAAAAUCCGGGAAUGGUCCGCCUGAAGGACUGGCCCGAAGUUUGGCGGUUGAAAGGCCUUUUCCCAAGCAGAGGCACCAGGCUGGAAAAAAAUCUAUACACUUCCCCGAGGAUCACACAUAUAAAUCUUCUUUUAAGUGUUAAAAGAGUGUGUGUGUGUGUGUGUGUGUGUGUGUGUGUGUGUGUGUGUUUCUUUUAACACCUUGAAAGAUUUGGCUUCCCUUUGGCCACUAGUUCCUAUUUGCAGGCUGUUUCUAAAGUACAGACUUAAAUUGGGAUGGGGUGGUGAGUCAAGAUGCUUGAAAAUAACGUAAUCAACGACAAUGUGGUUGGCUAUAUUUAGAAUGAAGGCAGGAAUAAAGGCAAGAUGAGUAGCGAAUUCUGAGGGAGGGAGGAGUGGCGAGAUCAGGUUAUAUCUUCCUGCUUAGAGUCCGCUCAACCCCUCCCCCCAUCUGCGCCUUAUGGUUGGAUCCCCGGGCUGGGCUAUUUCACUGCACAUGCGCCACACGCCGAACGAGCGUGCGUGGCAGGCGCUUAGAGCCCUGAACGGUAAGCUCAGCGUGCGCAGCGCUUUGCGGUGUGUGCCACCGCGCACUCCUUGCGUGCUUACCUGCAGAGCAGCUCGGACACCCCGUCUGAGAGAGGCAGAAAACGUACUUUUUCUUCCUUCCUUCCUUUUUUUUUUUUUUUUUCUUCAGCAAAACCUGUAUUAAAACCCCCAACGGUCCUUUCUGAUUUGCAAGCUCUGUUCCGCCAAACCAACAAAAUCGCCAUGUUGUCAACGAACACUCUCAAGGUUGUCAUUUGGAUUAGCGAUUUCACAUCUACUGCACGGCUUCUCUUGAGUCGUUAAUCAAGGCGGGGUGAGGGGGGGGGAUCACCCCCUAUGGUCAGAAAGCACAACUUAUCCCUCAUUCUGCACAGCCAUCAAGUCUAAGGGACCAUUUCCUAGAAAGAGGGUAUCUGUUCACACCAAUUCCGGGAAAAGUGGCCCCAAAUUGGACUUACAUCGGAAUUCCGAGUUCUUGGUGGCUUCUCCCUAGCUUCCGGUGCCCUCGCGUGCCCUGCCCCGCGGCCGCACUGCGGCAAGGCCGUAAAUACCUCUAACAGCUGCCUGCCUGCCCAGAGUGAAAUACUGUCUUUGUUCCGAUUUUCCCCUGCUUCUCUAGUUCAGAAAGAAUUCUGGCGAAAUAUACUUGUUUGGAGGAGCAUCUGAUAAGAAAAUACGUUUGGUUUUUAGCCCUGGUGCUUGGCCACAUUUAUAAGAGCGAGCUUCGUUCUUUUCGCUGGUCCCCGUGAAGAGUGCAAGCCCAGCUCACAGCCUGACCGGUAAACACCAAGGCCCGGACAUGCCACCGGCUGCCUGAACUAUAAACGGAUGGAGGUUCCCACUGAAUACGCUGGGAGUUACACUUCCCGGCUUGUGAGCUCUUACAAUCCAAGUGUUUCUUAUUUAAUUAAAAAAAAUUGGGUUUAAUUUUUUGGGUUAUCCGGAACAAUGGGGGCAUUUCCGGCAGUAGCAAAAGCGUUAACUGGUCUCCUUCUGGCCCGAGUUCAAAUGUGAUUUGCAGAUUAUUUACUCCCUUAAAUGCAACCGACCACUUAGUUCCAGUAAACUCUUAAUGCUACCACAGGAGUUACAAAGAACGCUUCAGUCCUCCAUAUCUGCCCAUGACCUCACCCUCUGCUUCUUAAAAGGACCUGCAGCCCGCCUAAGUUCUUAGUCACUUGGGCGCACUCAGCCACCGAACCCAGGGAAAAGUGAACACUAGGGCUUGGACAUCACAGCCACAACUCCUCCCCACCCCCACACUUGUCCCAGCCCACCUAGGGGGCUCCUUCGGCCAGGGGACAGGCCUACGUGCCUGACCAGGGGCCUGCUUUUCAAUAGGCAAUGCUUUUUACCAAUAUGAAACAAUGAUCUCGACAGCCAUUGUACCGUAGUCGCGAAAUAGUUACAAAAUGCAUACAUUCCAAAUAAAAAAUAUCAUUCAGUUUCUUAUUUGUGAGAUCAUAGUGAUCCACCACAAUCCCUCAGACGUCAACUGGCCACAAAUAGUGGCCCUCCAUUUUGAAACCAGCGUGAUUCCAUCGUGAAUUGCUAAAAAUACCUUUCUACAAAGAUGUCAUUUAUUGUUUAGAAAUACAUUUAUGGCCAAAACGAUUACAAAGGAAUAUCUGGACUACUAGGACUCGCCGCUGGGUGCUUUGGGGAAGAUAUUCAGCGGUGCGCAGGUCCAUCCCAUGCGCAAUGCGGCAGAUUGUCCACAGGUUUUAAUAUUUCGCAAGGUGUUCAUGAGGGAAGAGUCAAGAGGAUUUUGAGAACUGCAUCCUUAAGUACUGUUCAAAAUGGGUGGGAUAAAAGCAUUCUUUUUUUCUGCAAAGGAUUUUCUUUUGAUGCAUAGAUAAUGUUUCAGUUCAGUAAUUUUGAAGUAGAGGGUAAAAUGUUGCUAUACAACGUUUAUUUGUAGGCAAACACCACGACAGUGCAUUUAGAAAGCAAAAGAUCUACUCUUUUCCUCUUCUGGCAAAUAAGAAAGACACGCGAUAUUUGAACUUAGACAUGGUUUGCAUUUCUUAAAUAUCUAUUGCUUUUUACCCAAGACCUGCACCAGCUUUUCUGAUACUAUUACCUCCCAAAACAUGUAUACAUUUUGCGACAUAAAAUAAUCCAAUUUCACCUAACAGAUUAUUAGAUAUGGGGGGAAACGUUCUCGUUACAAAAAUUCUCUAAAAACUAGAGAAACGGUUUAAAAUAUUUAAAAUUCCAUCUCAUACAUAAAGCUCAAUAAAGCCUAGAAACCAGCCAGCAUCACUCACCAAAGCCUAGAUUAACAAACCAAACACAUCUUGGGUAUACAGAAUCCACCCCACCCCCACCCCAAGCCCCAACCCUCAAAAAACACCUGUUAGCCUCCCAGAUACCUUUGACCACAGACAAGCCGCAAAACACUGCUCUGUACUAUAGAAUGCCUUCAAGUGAUCCACAGCAAAGCUAAACCGUCCAGGAACCAUCUACCCAUUCUUCCCAGGGUGGGGAUUGAGGAGCUCUCCAUCCAGGCAGUGGGGUCCUAUCUGCGGCUCUCCACCUCUCGGAAGCUCGAGAGGAAAUGGGGCUUCCCUUCGACUUCUGAGCUCAGCUGGACCCCAUCCGGGGCCCCAGGGGAUGCCUGCUCAGAGAUGGAGUGAAGAGGAAGCCGGGGGCGCAGUCACCCCAAGGUCCCGGAGAAGUAUAGGGAGUCGGGGCAGGCUCACUGGGCUGCCCAAGGGGGUGGGCGCUUGGAGCUCCUCGGUGGCAGUGCAGGGGCGCGGGGAGGGGCGACUCUUACCCGGAGGCUGCCGAGCAGGAGGCGGCGGUCGGCCGGGGCGGCUGCAGUAAUCCAUUGGGCGCUGCCGGGCUACGCGCACUCGGGGCGGCAGGGAUCCGCUCGUGUUGGGGAAGGAGUCGCGUCGGAACCGCGCGGCUGCAGUCACCCGGAGCAGGCCGGCCGCUCCCGGCGAGCGUUGUCGGCGCCGGCGGGGGCCUCCGAGCCCAGGGCUAUUUCCGGGCUCUCCCGCCCGCCGGGCUCCCCACCGGCUCCGGAGGCGGCAGCGGCGCGGCCCGAGCGAAGCGGCGGUGGGGCCACGUUGGGCGCCGGGCGGGAGCGGAGGCCGCCGCGGACCCCGCAAUCCCGCAGCCGGCGACUGGAUCCCACCUCUGCAGAGACAAAGAUGCCGGAACAUUCAGCAAACACCAGGGAAACAGAGGACACAAGCUUGGAUGUGAAAUAGCAACACCUUCUGCACUGAAGAAUAAUAAAACAAUGUUUUUAAUUACAAAAGAAAAUGUGUAAGAAAAGUGUAAAAAUACGUGGGGCAAGUUUUGGGGGCCCUUUCUAAGCUAGAACACUUUAUACUGGUCUGUACAUGUGGAACUGAACAGAGAUUGUUCACUUCUAAAAUAUUCUAAGAAAUAAUCUCAAUUGUCAGUUUCCUCCUGCCCAAAUAAAAGCGGAGCUUUGUGA